AUUGAACGCUGGCGGAAUGCUUUACACAUGCAAGUCGAACGGCAGCACGAGGGCAACCUUGGUGGCGAGUGGCGAACGGGUGAGUAAUACAUCGGAACGUGCCCAGUCGUGGGGGAUAACGUAGCGAAAGCUACGCUAAUACCGCAUACGAUCUAUGGAUGAAAGCGGGGGACCGUAAGGCCUCGCGCGAUUGGAGCGGCCGAUGGCAGAUUUAGGUAGUUGGUGGGGUAAAGGCUCACCAAGCCUGCGAUCUGUAGCUGGUCUGAGAGGACGACCAGCCACACUGGAACUGAGACACGGUCCAGACUCCUACGGGAGGCAGCAGUGGGGAAUUUUGGACAAUGGGCGCAAGCCUGAUCCAGCCAUUCCGCGUGCAGGAUGAAGGCCUCGG
rnacentral:rRNA from 1 species